GCGAGUCAGUCAAUGGAAAGCUCUGUUUCUGGUCCUUCAGGAAUGCCUGCAGUUUCUUUGAACCAAGAUGCUGCAUGAUCCUGCUUGGCCUGUAUUCUGACAGCUGCCCAGUUCAGUUGGAGCCCCUGCUCCAGAGGCCGGUGUUACCCAUGGAAAUGGUUAGUGGAAUUGUGAUUUUUUUACUGCCUUUUAAACACUGGCUGCAAAUAUGCUAAACUAUCUGAACCAGUUCAGAAAAAAAGUAAAUGGAAGCUGUUGACUAGCAGUUAAGGUCCAGAAAGCUUUUGGGAAAAGAUGUGCCUUCUUUAAAUGAGCAAAUGUGCUUAGUUAGGUCCAUUUCUUGUAACAUUCUAGUACUGUGACUACUACCAUCUUAUUCUGAACAAGCAUUCUCUUCACGUCAUGGAGCUACACAGAAGAGACAAAACAUUGCAUCACUGUAUGCCAUGGGUGUCAGGCCUUCCACCUGAAGACUUGAGAUGUUCUGUUGAGGUGUUCCUACUCUACAUUAACAGGGUGUUUCAUUUUCAGAAAGCUCACCUUGUUAUCAGUUGCUCUUGGAUUGGUCUCUAAAACAGGAGAUAAGAAAUAAAUGGAUAUGCACAUAACUAAAAUAACACUUUUUCAAGGUUCUCCCUGAUGACAUGGGGUUGGGUGGUUAUAGCUCAAAUAGCAUUUCAUAAAGAGUCCAAUAUUGGACACAUGAACACGCUUGGAUAUUUCCAUCCUCAACCAUGCAGCUCCAGUUCUUCUGUUGUCAGAGUGUUAGUUGGCUACAGACUAGAAAUGGAACAUCAGAAACAUGGCAAUAGCCGUGUGUGUGUGUGUGUGUGUGUGUGUGUGUUGUGAAUAAGUGUUAUGCAUUCCAGAUAAAAUUAACACAAGCAUAACCAAGUGGGAGGGAAGAAUUACUCUUUUAUUUUUUAAUUUUUUAAAGAAAUUUUGUUUUAGUUGUAGAUGGACACAAUGCCUUUAUUUUAUUUAUUUAUUUUUUUAUGCGGUGCUAAAGAUCAAACCCAGUGCCUGACACAUGCUAGGUGAGCACUCUACCACUGAACCACAUCCCAGCCCAAGAAUUACUCUUUUAUUUAAGAUAUACUUAGUUUGAGGGAGCUAGUUCUUCUAGAGCAGAUUCCCAAUUGGGAGUUGGGAAUAUGGGACCUAAACUCAGGGAAGAGAAAAAAGUGGGAGAUAACCUAGAUAACUAGUCAGCUGUCUAGUACCUAGUGAUCAGGGAAGCCAUAAUUAAAGGAGAUGUUCUAGGGGACAAAGAUACAGAAUGAGAAGAACAGGAAGCUCAGAACUACAUCUUGCCAUAUUUGUAAGAGCGAGAGAUUAGAAACAAAUACCUAUCAAUAAGGUAAAUGCCCCCAAAUUAUGGUACAUUAGCCUGGAUUACGGUCAAGGCCCCAUCUCUGCUCUGGGCCAGCCUGUUAAUUAAGGGAAUACUGGAAACACAGGAGCCAUGGGGGAUAAAGAAAAGACAAACCGACAUGCACAGAGGAAGAGCUGGGGCGGAGUGGGAAAACCAAGCCCUGGUGAAGCUUGACUGACUCUGAGCAAGCUCAGCAAGUUUAUUUUUAUUUAUUUAUUUAUCUAUUUUGGGGGGUGGGGGUGGUGGUACCAGGAAUUGAAUUCAGGGGCACUCAACCACUGAGCCACAUCCCAGCCCAAUUUUGUAUUUUAUUUAGAGACAGGGUCUCACUGAGUUGCGUAUUACCUUGGUUUUUGCUGAAGCUGGCUUUGAACUUGUGAUCCUCCUGCCUCAGCCUCCUGAAUAACUGGGAUUACAGGCAUGCCCCAUGCAGCCUGGCACAGUAAGUUUAUUAUAUACGUUUCAUCAAAAGGUUAUUUGUGGGAAAGUUUCAGCAAAGCAGGCAAUCUGAAGGACCACUGGCGAAAUAUUAGGGUGAUCUUGUCUUGCUCAGAAUUCACUAUCUCUGGGAAAAGGUGCUGAACUCAAGGUCCCGACUGAUAAAGCCUGCGCCUUUGCGUGUAGCCACCCCUGGCCAGCGUUACCAUAGCAACUGGGCAUCUCGACUUAUGUCUUUGCCCAGGUAACUGCCAGCGCAAAUGCAGCCACAAGAGAGUCAGAGGCCAUGAUUUGAUUCGGUGGUGCCUGCCUGUAAUCCCAGCAGCUCCGGAGGCUGAGGCAGGAGGGUCGAGAGUUCAAAGCCAGCCUCAGCAAAAAGCAAGGUACUGAGUAACUCAGUGAGAUUUAAAUAAAAUACAAAAUAGGGCAGGGGAUGUGGUUCAGUGGUAGAGUGCCCAAGUUCAAUUCCUGGUACCAAAAUAAAAUAAAAACUAAAAACAAAACAAAACAACAACAAAAAUCACUGCUCUUCACAGAUUACAAUGUAGCAGAAAGAAUAAAGAGGUUCUUUCUGUAUUUAUCCAGAUUUUUUGUUACACUGUUAUUUGAGAAAAGCAGAAUGCUUGAAAGAUGUACUGCAUAGCACUAUGUAAAAAAAAAAGGAAGAAAAGGUUAUGGGUAUUAUCUAUAGUUAUGUGCCACAUAAUGAUGUUUUUGAUCAACAACACAUCACAUGCACAACAUUGAUCCCAAAGAUUAUAAUGGUUAAAAAUUUCCCAUUGAUGAGUAUUUUUAUUACCCUUUCUAUGUUUAUAUAAGCUUGGAUAUGUAAAUCCUAACCAUUAUGUUACAGUUGCAUGCAGUACUCAAAACAGUGACAUGCAAUAUAAGUUUUUAGCCUGGGAACAACAGACUACACUAUAUAGCCUAGGUAUGCUGUAGGCUACACCACCUAGGUUUGUGCAAGUAUACCCUAUAAUAUUUGCACAAAGAUGAAAUCACCUAAUUGUGCAUUUCUCCGAAUUUAUUCUGUCAGUGACAUAUGUGAGUGUUGAGGUGCUCCUACUCUGUAUUAACAGGUAUUUCUGUUACACACACACACACACACACACAUACAAUAUACAGGCACAUGCAAGUAUAAAAUAUGUUGGCAUACACAUGCAUAUGUAUAAGAUGUUUCUGUAAGGAACACGUAGUAUUACAUGGAUGAAGAAGAUUUUUCAUAGAUUUUUUUUUGUACUUUUGAGGAUUUUUUUUUUUUGAGUACUGGAGAUUGAACUCAUAGGUGCUCUACCUCUGAGCUACAUCCCAAGAUCAAAGCACCAACAGAUUCAGUGUCUAGUGAGGGCCUCUUUUCUGAUUCAUAAAUGGCACCUUCUAGCUGUGUCCUCAGAUGGUGGGAAAAGUAAACAGCUCUCUCAUUUUUUUUUAAUGUUGCCAAUUCCAUUCAUGAAGUCUCUGCCACCAUAACUUAAUCACUUCCUACAGCCUCCACCUUCAAUACUGUCACAAUGGUGAUUAAGUUUCAGCAUAUGGAUUUGGGAGAGACACAUUUAGACAUAGCACUUCUGCUCAGAAAUGAGGGGAUCCCAAGAUCCACCAGCACUGAGUAAGGAAUAGGGAGACAUGUGUAAUGAAGUUCCCCAGAAGAAAGUAUUAGGGAGAGGGGACAGGGGUACUUUUGUUGAGCUAUGACUGCUGUAGAAAGGUCAAGCAUGGGGAAGUCAGAGGGAAAGGUCAUGUUGAAGAGGUGGAGGUGAAGAAGAGAGAAGCCAUGCUCCUAAAGACCUUAUCUAAAAGGGAGAAGACCUACUACUUUUUUCAUAGAGGAGAGAAAAGUCUGCAAGCAAAGACUUUUGCCUGGUAGUGUUCAAUGCCUGCUUCCACCCUUACAGUGGAGUUUCUAAAAGGCAGACUAUGCCUACCCACAAUUGUCUCCUCAGCAUAAUACCAUUUCUGGCACUCACCAGCAUCUUCCUACUCCCCUUCCCACAGUAGCCAGAAAAGUGCUGGACCAUUUUACAACCCUGAAACACCUAUUGGUGUUUUCUUGUGAAAGUUACGAUUUUUAUGUAAAAGUGUAUUGCUACCUCCUUCACAUUAGUUUUGCUAUAUAUGUACUAUAACCUGAGAACAUCCUUUUAUUAUAAUUUAAACAUUCUAGUAAACGUCCAAGCUCUUAGUACAAUUGUUAGAGUUUGCAUGUUACUUAAAAUUCAUAUCACAUAGCAUUUUUAUGUGCAUUUUCCACAAAUAUAUUACUAUGGAGAUUUUUAGUACUGUGGCAAUAAAAAUAUUUCCAAAGUUUCAGUUUCUGUAAUCUGUAUUCAUAAAUAAUGAAUUGUCAACUUAGAAAGCUUAAAAAUAACUGAAAUAUAGUGUGUCAUACACUAUUCUAAAUGCAUACAUAUUUGACUCAUAUCUGUUAAGCUGUCUUCAAAUGAUACUAUCCGUAUUUUAUAAACUGAGCAACUGAGGCUCAGAAGGGCUUUGUGUCUUGCUCAAAAUCCUAUACCAGGUAAAAGAGAAAGAGCUGGAAUUUGAAUCCAGGUAAUGUGCCUCCAGAGUCUACUCUCUGAACCAUAAUGAUGCUGACUUUGAACUUAAAGGGCUGUAUGUCUUGCAGACGAUGCAUGAAUACAGGUAACUUCAGGAGGCCUUGAAUGCUAAAAUUAUAAUGGCUUUGUUUCAUCAGUAUAAAACAAGGACAUAUGUUAGAGUCUGUAAACAAGUCAAAAAUAACACCUGGCAUUUUGCCAGGGGAAUGUUAGAGUUCGUAAACAAGUCUGGAUGGUGCCUGGCAAAAUGCCAGAGGGAGUGGUUUGAGAAGUAACAAAAGUGAGCCAUUAAAUGUGGAGAUUCCUUAUUGGUUGACUGAUGUAUCUAGUUUAUGCUAAUUAGAUAAGCUCUGUGGAAUGUAUAAAUACUGCUCCUGUCCUGCAAUAAACGGCUCCCACUCCUGCUGUAUCAACGUACACAAGUUAUUCGUCACCCCCCGGUUAUUUUGCUGCAGCCAGCCGGACUGCGGCAGAUGGUGGCCCGUACGGGGAACCCCGGGACACUCGGGGGUAAGUGAUGAAAAAAAAAGCUGCCCGUCCAUAGAUAGGACAGGAGCAAAUCUGCUCGUCCCUAGGCAGAUAGGGCGAGAGGAAAAAUGGCCAUUUCGAGAAAAUGGAGAAGAUUGAUACAGUAUGUUUGUGUCUUGUUUUGUCUUAAAAUGUUGUAUUGUCUUUGUGAUGAAAAUAUGGAAGGGGUGUUAAGUAAAUUACUAAGGGAAGAAGGCACCCCAAUGGAACCAAGAAUAGUUAGGGCAUGUGUUGAUAGAAGCCCAGGAACUCUAGUCAGAAAGAAACAGAAAGUUCAGAAGAAGAAAGAUUAUCAGAGGAGGAAGGAUUAUCAGGAAAAAAGUUGCAGCAAAAGGCUAUUACUGAAUACUUUUCGUUACCGGAGGGUGCGUGAAUCGGAGCCGCGGCUGCCACAUGUGCGAGCUGGUCAUGGCACAGCAAGGGCUUUCCAAACGGCGGCAGCCGGCUCUUCCACUGCUGAGAGCCCAAAUCUAGACCUGACUUGGAGGCACAGUCUCGCAGGCUCUUGCUCCCUGUGCCCAGUAGCAGUUUGAAUCCGGGACACUCCCCAGGGCCAUCUGGGGCUGCCCAGGACACUACAGCCGGCAAAAGAGGCUACUGGUGUCCCUGAUGUUUGGUCAUUUUCAAUGCCAAUAACUAAACUACAAUGGUUCUCCCACACCUGGAAGCUAAUGAGUAAUGAGCACUAUUAAUGCUUAUUUCAAAUGCAAAAAAUCCUUGAGAUAAUGUACUAAAUUGUUCAGAAGGUUGUUUUCUUAGUGGAAUGCUACAGGAUUUUCUUUAGCAUCUUUGCAAGAGUUCCUGCCUUCGUCCCAGUGCCGGUGAGGACUGAGGACGAGGAUGGAAAAUUUCCAGUGUUGCUGAAAACCGGAUGAAACUUCGGCUGAAAAACGGACGAGACUUCGGAUCUGUUGCUGUUUCUGCUGCUACAACUUAAGCUAGCUGCCUGCAGAACUUACCUGGACUGUGAUUUAAGCUAGAUGCCUGCAGAACUUACCUGGACUGUGAUUUAAGCUAGCUGCCUGCAGAACUUACCUGGACUGUGAGUUAAUCUAUUGAGACACUGCUUUACCUGGACUGAGACAACAAACUAUAAUCUACAACAAAUUGUAACUCGGUAUCUUUGCUAACAGUGUCAUUGCUGGUAUAAUUUUUCCAAGGGCUUCUUGCAUGGAGCCAUCAAUUGGCUUGGUAUUGUGGCAUUUUGUAUCCUCCCUUUCUGUUUGUAGCAGGUUAUUUAUGGUGUUUCUGUAAAAACCACUAUGGUCGUUAUUUAAAUUAAACAAAAGGGGGAAAUGUUAGAGUCUGUAAACAAGUCAAAAAUAACACCUGGCAUUUUGCCAGGGGAAUGUUAGAGUUCGUAAACAAGUCUGGAUGGUGCCUGGCAAAAUGCCAGAGGGAGUGGUUUGAGAAGUAACAAAAGCGAGCCAUUAAGUGUGGAGAUUCCUUAUUGGUUGACUGAUGUAUCUAGUUUAUGCUAAUUAGAUAAGCUCUGUGGAAUGUAUAAAUACUGCUCCUGUCCUGCAAUAAACGGCUCCCACUCCUGCUGUA